rnacentral:rRNA from 1 species
CUACGGGGGGCAGCAGUGAGGAAUAUUGCACAAUGGGGGGAACCCUGACGCAGCAACGCCGCGUGGAGGAUGACGCAUUUCGGUGUGUAAACUCCUUUUAUAUGUCAAGAAAAUGACGGUAGCAUAUGAAUAAGCACCGGCUAACUCCGUGCCAGCAGCCGCGGUAAUACGGAGGGUGCAAGCGUUACUCGGAAUCACUGGGCGGAAAGGACGCGUAGGCGGGUUGGAAAGUCAGGUGUGAAAUCCUACAGCUUAACUGUAGAACUGCACUUGAAACUUCUAAUCUAGAGUAUGGGAGGGGGAGAUGGAAUUAGUGGUGUAGGGGUAAAAUCCGUAGAUAUCACUAGGAAUACCUAAAGCGAAGGCGAUCUCCUGGAACAUUACUGACGCUAAGGCGUGAAAGCGUGGGGAGCAAACAGGAUUAGAUACCCCAGUAGUC